AACGAACGCUGGCGGCAGGCCUAACACAUGCAAGUCGAACGAUCCGCAAGGAUAGUGGCGCACGGGUGAGUAACGCGUGGGAACGUGCCCUUAGGUACGGAACAACAGUUGGAAACGACUGCUAAUGCCGUAUGAUAUCGAGAGAUCAAAGAUUUAUCGCCUAAGGAUCGGCCCGCGUUAGAUUAGGUAGUUGGUGGGGUAAUGGCCUACCAAGCCUACGAUCUAUAGCUGGUCUCAGAGGAUGAUCAGCCACACUGGAACUGAGACACGGUCCAGACUCCUACGGGAGGCAGCAGUGAGGAAUAUUGGACAAUGGGCGAAAGCCUGAUCCAGCCAUGCCGCGUGAAUGAUGAAGGCCUUAGGGUUGUAAAGUUCAUUUAGCAGUGAAGAUGAUGACGGUAACUGCAGAAAAAGCCCCGGCUAACUCCGUGCCAGCAGCCGCCGCGG
rnacentral:rRNA from 1 species